CCUACGGGAGGCUGCAGUUGGGAAUCUUGCACAAUGGGGGAACCCCUGAUGCAGCGACGCCGCGUGGAGGAAGAAGGGUCUAGGCUCGUAAACUCCUUUUUCAGGUAAAGACUUCGGGCGGUACCCUGAGAAUAAGCUCCGGCUAACUACGUGCCAGCAGCCGCGGUCAGACGUAGGGAGCGAGCGUUGUCCGGAUUUACUGGGCGUACAGAGAACGUAGGCGGUCUGUUAAGUGAGAAGUGAAAUCUCCAGCGCUCAACGCGGAAACGGCUUUUCAUACUGGCAGACUUGAGGGAUGCAGAGGCAAGUAGAAUUCCUGGUGUACCGGUGACAUGGGUUGAUAUCAGGAGGAAUACCAAUGGCGAAGGCAGCUUGCUGGGCAUCAUCUGACGCUGAGGUGCGAAAGCGUGGGUAGCAAACAGGAUUAGAUACCCGUGUAGUC
rnacentral:rRNA from 1 species